GUGUUGUGCGAACUUCAUGCAGCGUAGCGCAGCGCGUAAUCGCCUGUGACUCUGUAAUCACUUCAUAUACGGUCAUUGUGAGGGACGGCGCGUACGCAGUCCCAACUACCAAAAAUUAUGCGUCCGAGAUAUCCACAUUAGGGAUACUCGCAGGGGUCAACCCGAUCUGAUGUGCAAUGACCAGGCCUCGCCCUGGAGGAACCGCCCAAGUGAUCACGGUUAACCUCCACGCCAGGUAAGUAU